GUACAGGAAAGGGAUCUGGCAAACGGUCUCAAAGAAGAACAUAAAAGAAUGGAAACUAGAGAUGAAACAUCAAAUGAUAGGUGGCUUCCCCAACACUACUGAUGAACAGUGGACUAACAUAAUUUCAUGUACACGUA